rnacentral:rRNA from 1 species
AUGGACGCGGACGCGCUGCUGGAGAAGAUACGGGUGCUGGAGGAGGGGCAGGCCGAGCUCAAGCGGGAGAUAGGCAAGCUCACGACGGGCCGCCGCGACGCCGACGCCGGGCGCCGCGCUUUCCGCGCGCUGCCGCCGCAGCCGCAGCGGCGGCGGGUUGGCCAGCAGGCACUGCCACUGGAAGUGGGUACUGCAGUCGCUGGCGCAGGCCGUGCACAUCAUUGGCCCCGACGGCAAGUUCCUGUACUGCAAAAAUCGUCAUCCAGACUAUAUUUACAGGGAAGUGCUGGAGAGGCAAGUUUCCUGUUAAGAACAAGUCAGGAGACAGGUUUUUUAUCCUUGGCCAGAACACCCUUUUAUACGGUGACGAUGGUAGCUUGGUGGGCCUUAUUGGUAUCUCGCAUGAUUUACGGACAUUAG